rnacentral:rRNA from 1 species
GACGAACGCUGGCGGCGUGCCUAAUACAUGCAAGUCGUGCGGACCUUGUUGAAAGCUUGCUUUUAAAAGGUUAGCGGCGGACGGGUGAGUAACACGUGGGCAACCUGCCUGUAAGACUGGGAUAACGCCGGGAAACCGGGGCUAAUACCAGAUCGUUUUUUCCUCCGCAUGGAGGAAAAAGGAAAGGCGGCUUCGGCUGCCACUUACAGAUGGGCCCGCGGCGCAUUAGCUAGUUGGCGGGGUAAUGGCCCACCAAGGCAACGAUGCGUAGCCGACCUGAGAGGGUGAUCGGCCACAUUAGGACUGAGACACGGCCCAAACUCCUACGGGAGGCAGCAGUAGGGAAUCUUCCGCAAUGGGCGAAAGUCUGACGGAGCAACGCGGCGUGAGUGAAGAAGGCCUUCGGGUCGUAAAACUCUGUUGCCGGGGAAGAACAAGUGCCGUUCGAACAGGGCGGCGCCUUGACGGUACCCGGCCAGAAAGCCACGGCUAACUACGUG